rnacentral:rRNA from 1 species
AGGUUGAACGCUGGCGGCGUGCUUAACACAUGCAAGUCGAACGAUGAAGGCUGGAGCUUGCUCUGGCUGGAUUAGUGGCGAACGGGUGAGUAACACGUGAGUAACCUGCCCCAGACUCUGGGAUAAGCGCUGGAAACGGCGUCUAAUACCGGAUACGAGCUUCCACCGCAUGGUGAGGAGCUGGAAAGAAUUUCGGUCUGGGAUGGACUCGCGGCCUAUCAGCUUGUGGUGAGGUAAUGGCUCACCGAAGGCGACGACGGGUAGCCGGCCUGAGAGGGUGACCGGCCACACUGGGACUGAGACACGGCCCAGACUCCUACGGGAGCAGCAGUGGGAAU